rnacentral:tRNA from 1 species
GACACGAUGGCCGAGUGGUCUAAGGCGGUAGAUUUAAGUCUUGCUAAGAUCUCUACUACAGAAAUGUGCGUGGGUUCGAACCCCACUCGUGUCA